AAGUUGUCUAAUAUUUCAGCAUGGCGGCUGUUCAAUAUAAAUUGUCUCGUUGCGUUAGAAAUGGACCUUCUCAAAAGACUCCAGAGGAGUUGAGAAGACUCGAAAAGGGAUUUGUUUUGGAUAAUAUUGCAGUGAGUACGCUGUCGGAUGAUUCUGGACGCGCAAAUCCGAAGAUGAGCACAGCUAUUCCACCUUACAACGCGCAAAUAGACCCGCACACCAAAAACUACUUCGAAAAGAAACUUGUUCAGAGAUUACUAACCAGAACUCAACAGCCACCUCCAGGAGACUCCAUCAGUGGUAAACAAAUGGAUAAAUUUUAUAAUAAAGGAAUGAUGGGGACGUAUUUAAGCUACAGGAAUAGUGCUGGAGCAGGAUAUUCAAGGGCACAGGUUAGUGGGCACAGCUUGUUCUUAGAAGGGCUACCUCCUAUUAAUGGAUGGCAUGGCGCAUUUGGAUUCAGAAGAAACACGCCUUGGCUACGAAGACAACCUUCUGUUUUUAUAGGAAAAGUUGACAGCCGUUCAGUUGUGCCAUAAUAAAAAAAAAGACAGGUAGAUAGCAGAGGAUCAAAGUAAAGGAUUGGGGUUGAAAGGACUCAGUGGUACAUCUCUACCCUAAACAGGCAAGAGUACACCACAGGCCAAGGUUGUGGGGGUUGUUGGUAAUGAUUGUUCAUAGGGUGUUUAGAUUGGUGAUGGGGUGUUAAUUGGUACUCGAUUGGUUGUGGUAGUUGCUGUUGAUGUAGCACCACAAGUGAAUAAGGAGGAAACUUAAAACCAUUGUGACAGAGUCAAAAGAACGUUAUUUUAAACAAAAGUAAAUCGGACUUUAACCUAGUUUUAGUUAGUUUAAUUACGAUUUCGGAUACUAAGGAAUGUUCUUCCUUCAUAUCAAGUGAAAUCUGCAAACAAGUAGUUAAUUAAUUUCCUGGGAUUACAUGAGUAAUGUUAGCAUAAGCCACGUUUUACGGAACAAGUGCGCCUUGGGCGUAUUGUGCGUGGAUUAUUGUAAUACAUGAGGAAUGCAGACUCAAGUAUAAAUAGAGCUUUUCAAGUAAAUUUAGUCAGUAUAGCAAGAGAACUUGGAAGAGCGUCGAACCACAGAUUAAAGACAAAGAACUCGCGUCGUUAGAAGACAGAGAGCUGUAAUCUCGUUCUCGUUUUGUACUGAUUUGUGAUGUACUAAGCUGGGUUGUUGAAUAAACUCUUUUGCCAACA
rnacentral:misc_RNA from 1 species